rnacentral:rRNA from 1 species
UACGUAGGGUGCAAGCGUUACUCGGAAUUACUGGGCGUAAAGCGUGCGCAGGCGGUUUUGUAAGUCUGUCGUGAAAGCCCCCGGCUCAACUGGGGAGGGUCACGCGAUACUGAUCGACUGGAAGGCAGGAGAGGGUAGUGGAAUUCCCGGUGUAGUGGUGAAAUGCGUAGAUAUCGGGAGGAACACCAGUGGCGAAGGCGACUACCUGGCCUGUUCUUGACGCUGAGGCGCGAAAGCUAGGGGAGCAAACGGG